rnacentral:rRNA from 1 species
UACGUAGGGUGCGAGCGUUGUCCGGAUUUAUUGGGCGUAAAGGGCUCGUAGGCGGCCUGUCGCGUCGGGAGUGAAAGCCCACUGCUUAACGGUGGGUCUGCUUCCGGUACGGGCGGGCUGGAGUAUGGCAGGGGAGACUGGAAUUCCUGGUGUAGCGGUGGAAUGCGCAGAUAUCAGGAGGAACACCGGUGGCGAAGGCGGUUCUCUGGGCCUUACCUGACGCUGAGGAGCGAAAGCGUGGGGAGCGAACAGG